GGACUUCCGUCACUGUCAGAACAGCAGCAAAACAGUGUGCCUGGCUGUGUGUGCUCGAAGGAACGAGGAUCAGGCCUCGUCUCUGAAUGUGUAGCCCCACGCUCCUUGAAGCACCUCUGCUCCAAAGGCCAUGCUGCUGCCUGCAUCCCUUUCCUCUAAUGAGAUGCUGAGGCUUUCCUCUGUUUGCACAAUCAGACCAUCAACCCUUCAUGAAAUCUAGCUGGAUGUGCCACAAAGUGACAAGACAUAAUAAACAUAAGGCCAUAUUGACUUUGAAGAAGAAAAAAUACAUUUCCUUCAGUUAGCAAAGGACAGACAAGAUAGCAAUGGCAACAGACAGGGAGACAUGAUGCUGUAGCAACCCGGGACAGGGCUCUCUGCAGUGACUAACAGUGGAGGUUACACUGCUUGGCUACAUCCUCAAAACAGUGGAAAGAAAACAGUGAGAAAUAAAAGGGCUAAGCCAGCUACCUGAAUGAUGCUCCUAUUCAAAUGCUUGGCAGUUGACCUCUAAGAUCUUCUCUGUUGCUUUAGGCCCUUGGCUGGUUGUGCUCCUUUAUGCCAUAUGUGAAGUGGUGUUACCAGUAGAAGUGUUUUCAAAUAGUCAGUUAAGAAAAGAUUCCUUCUUACUGUGGCUGAAACUCCUUCAUUCUUGUCUAAUAGGAGUAUUUCAUACUUAUCUUCUUAAAAGUGCACUUUUUUUUCUCUUGUGUCUCCAAAAUCUCAAGAUUAUUUUUAAAUUCUCACUCUCUCCUCCAGUGCAUUAGCAGUUAGUCCUCAAAUGGUGCUGUCUGCAAGUUUAUUGUUUCUUCAUCUGAGAUGGUAAUGAAAUCAGUGCGCAGUUCCAGACCCAGAGAGGCCUCCAUCCAACCCUACUGCAUACCUCUGUACGAGAUUUGUACUAUCAAUAACCGCUUUUCAGACAUGGUUAUACAACAGACUUGACUGAUGAUGCCACGUAUCACACUCAGUGUUCCCGAUAACUUCAUCAGUGGCCAGAGGAGGUGAGCCCAAGAAACCAUGAGGACCCAUUUCCAACCUUCAGGGUCGUUCACCCUUCCUCCCAAUCUCCUCACACUUCUGCUGUUUACCACACAUCCUGCCAUCCCGCACAGCGUUGCCGGAGGCCUCGCAACAUCAGCAGCUACAGGCAGUGCCUCUCUGAGGAGUAGCUCCCACUGGAGAUCAACACAGAAGACCCUUACAGCACUGGGAAGAGGACCCCAGGUACUUCUCAGUCCCACAUGUCCAGGAGAGAACCUGGAGGUUCUGCAGAAGAGGCUAACAGUGGAGUAAGCUUUUACACUUUCACCCCAGGGAUCUUACUCUGAGACUUUGUGGUGAAACACAGAAAAGAACUUAAGCAAAAACAGACCAGACACUGCAGAUUCUGAAUGAGGAGGACAUAGUUCUGAAAUUUUUGCUUGUCUGCAAAGUGUACUAAAAAGCCACAGAAGCACAACUGAAACAAGGCCUCUAAAGGCAACACUAUAAAUCUGUACCCUUUGUUUGACCCAUGGCUCAGAGUUUAAGCAGCCUGGGGCUAGAAGUCUACAAUGUGCUUGUCCAAGUUUGAAGUAAUCAUAAGGGUGCAUUUGCCAUUUUUUCCAUGGCUGACUAAAAGGAUCCAAUAGAAAUUGUCCAUAUAUUUUUUAAA